rnacentral:rRNA from 1 species
UACGUAGGGAGCGAGCGUUGUCCGGAUUUAUUGGGCGUAAAGAGCGCGUAGGCGGCUUGGUAAGCCGGAUGUGAAACCUCCAAGCUUAACUUGGAGCGGCCAUUCGGAACUGCCAUGGCUAGAGUCUGGUAGGGGAACACGGAAUACCUGGUGUAGCGGUGAAAUGCUUAGAUAUCAGGUGGAACACCAGUGGCGAAGGCGGUGCUCUGGGCCAGUACUGACGCUGAGGCGCGAAAGCGUGGGGAGCGAACAGG